rnacentral:rRNA from 1 species
GACGAACGCUGGCGGCGUGCCUAAUACAUGCAAGUAGAACGCUGAGGACUGGUGCUUGCACCGGUCCAAGGAGUUGCGAACGGGUGAGUAACGCGUAGGUAACCUACCUCAUAGCGGGGGAUAACUAUUGGAAACGAUAGCUAAUACCGCAUAAAAGUGUUUAACCCAUGUUAAACAUUUAAAAGGUGCAAUUGCAUCACUAUGAGAUGGACCUGCGUUGUAUUAGCUAGUUGGUGAGGUAACGGCUCACCAAGGCGACGAUACAUAGCCGACCUGAGAGGGUGAUCGGCCACACUGGGACUGAGACACGGCCCAAACGCCUACGGGAGGCAGCAGCUAAGAAUCUUCCGCAAUGGACGAAAGUCUGACGGAGCGACGCCGUGUGAAUGAAGAAGGCCGAAAGGUUGUAAAAUUCUUUUGCAGAUGAAGAAUAAGAAGAAGAGGGAAUGCUUCUUUGAUGACGGUAGUCAUGCGAAUAAGCCCCGGCUAAUUACGUGCCAGCAGCCGCGGUAACACGUAAGGGGCGAGCGUUGUUCGGAAUUAUUGGGCGUAAAGGGUAUGUAGGCGGUUAGGUAAGCCUGGUGUGAAAUCUACGAGCUCAACUCGUAAACUGCAUUGGGUACUGCUUGACUUGAAUCACGGAGGGGAAACCGGAAUUCCAAGUGUAGGGGUGGAAUCUGUAGACAUUUGGAAGAACACCGGUGGCGAAGGCGGGUUUCUGGCCGAUGAUUGACGCUGAUAUACGAAGGUGCGGGGAGCAAACAGG